AGUGAACGCUGGCGGUAGGCCUAACACAUGCAAGUCGAACGGCAGCACAGUAAGAGUUUGCCCUUACGGGUGGCGACUGGCGGACGGGUGACGAAUACAUCGGCAUCUUCUUUUUCUUGGGGGAUAACGUAGGGAAACUUACGCUAAUACCGCAUACGACCUACGGGUGAGAGCAGUAGUUCUUCGGACCUUUCGCGUUUGAUUGAGCCGAUGUCGGAUUAGCUAGUUGGCGGGGUAAAGGCCCACCAAGGCGACGAUCCGUAGCUGGUCUGAGAGGAUGAUCGGCCACACUGGAACUGAGACACGGUCCAGACUCCUACGGGAGGCAGCAGUAGGGAAUAUUGGGCAAUGGGCGCAAGCCUGAUCCAGCCAUACCGCGUGAGUGAUGAAGGCCUUCGGGUUGUAAAGCCCUUUUGUUGGGAAAGAAAAGAAGCAGGAUAAUACCCCGCUGUUCUGACGGUACCCAAAGAAUAAGCACCGGCUAACUUCGUG
rnacentral:rRNA from 1 species